GUCUGUGGCUAAUAAGGACAGGCUCUAUCAUAAGACAUUAAAGGACCCGCUGAUUCAUACAAAUCAUUUGUACCAGUGCAGGAGAGAAGCUAAUUGCGCUUGGACAAUGCGGCUUUCACUGCCAAGACCGGCAGCCGAAGUCUAACUGCUUACUUCAGCCAAAGAUGGAUACAAUGGGGUGUUGAGAAAAAUGUGCUGGAAGAUGCUUUUACUUGGAAUCUUCAAGCAUGUUCUCCUCUGCUAUCUACUCAGGAAUGCAGGUGGAACUGGGGAUGCUUUUACUCAAUUCUAAUGGUGUUUUUCAGAAUUUUCCUAUCUUGUUUAUGUGUGUGUGUGUAUCAUAUAUAUUUUAUACACACACCUACAGACACACACACACACAUACGUCUCAGCUAUAUACACCUGAUGAAAUACAAAAGAGUGAAAAGGUAAUAAACUGAAAUUCUGUGAAGCUGUUGUCUGAUCCAGAGCCUCUGAAAAGAAGAAAAGCUUAGAAUAUUUGGGGCCAGAUGAUUUCAAAGUGUUUUAUAGAGACUGACAAUGUUCAAAGAUUAAAAGUGAUGAAGGGUAAAUAAAUCAUAGGAAGUAAUGACAGGAACCAUCACCUACCUUGGGAAACAAAUGAGAUGAGUUAUCUCAUUACUUAUGAAAAGCAACCAUUAGUGAAUCAUAAGUAUUGCUUGAAACAUGCACUCUUCAUUUAGCUGCAGAAAUGGUUCUGAACCAUCAGGUUAGAUGAAUGCUCCCAGCCAUACAACCCUGCUAACCUGUUCAUUCAUUUAGGGCCUUUCCACUCCCUGCAAAUAUUCCCCAAAACAGUCCCC